GACGAACGCUGGCGGCGUGCUUAACACAUGCAAGUCGAACGGAAAGGCCCUGCUUUUGUGGGGUGCUCGAGUGGCGAACGGGUGAGUAACACGUGAGUAACCUGCCCUUGACUUUGGGAUAACUUCAGGAAAAUGGGGCUCAUACCCGAUAGGAGCUCCUGCUGCAUGGGGGGGGUUGGAAAGUUUCGGCGGUUGGGGAUGGACUCGCGGCUUAUCAGCUUGAUGGUGGGGUAGUGGCUUACCAAGGCUUUGACGGGUAGCCGGCCUGGGAGGGUGACCGGCCACAUUGGGCCUGAGAUACGGCCCAGACUCGUACGGGAGGCAGCAGUGGGGAGUAUUGCACAAUGGGCGGAAGCCUGAUGCAGCAACGCCGCGUGCGGGAUGACGGCCUUCGGGUUGUAAACCGCUUUGGCCUGUGACGAAGCGUGAGUGACGGUAAUGGGUAAAGAAGCACCGGCUAACUACGUG
rnacentral:rRNA from 1 species